rnacentral:rRNA from 1 species
ACGGGAUGCUUAGGCAUCUAGUGGCGGACGGGUGAGUAACGCGUGAGAAUCUGGCUCCAGGUCGGGGAUAACAGUUGGAAACGACUGCUAAUACCGGAUGUGCCGAGAGGUGAAAGAUUUAUUGCCUGGAGAUGAGCUCGCGUCUGAUUAGCUAGUUGGUGGUGUAAGGGACCACCAAGGCCUCGAUCAGUAGCUGGUCUGAGAGGAUGAUCAGCCACACUGGGACUGAGACACGGCCCAGACUCCUACGGGAGGCAGCAGUGGGGAAUUUUCCGCAAUGGGCGAAAGCCUGACGGAGCAAUACCGCGUGAGGGAGGAAGGCUCUUGGGUCGUAAACCUCUUUUCUCAAGGAAGAAGAAAGUGACGGUACUUGAGGAAUAAGCAUCGGCUAACUCCGUGCCAGCAGCCGCGGUAAUACGGAGGAUGCAAGCGUUAUCCGGAAUGAUUGGGCGUAAAGGGUCUGCAGGUGGAACUGAAAGUCUGCUGUUAAAGAGUUUGGCUUAACCAAAUAAAAGCGGUGGAAACUACAGAACUAGAGUGCGGUAGGGGCAAAAGGAAUUCCUGGUGUAGCGGUGAAAUGCGUAGAUAUCAGGAAGAACACCGGUGGCGAAAGCGUUUUGCUAGACCGUAACUGACACUGAGGGACGAAAGCUAGGGGAGCGAAUGGGAUUAGAUACCCCAGUAGUCCUAGCCGUAAACGAUGGAUACUAGGCGUGGC